rnacentral:rRNA from 1 species
GGCCAGCAGCCGCGGUAAUACGUAGGGGGCGAGCGUUGUCCGGAUUUACUGGGCGUAAAGAGCGCGUAGGCGGCCAGCCAAGUCGUGCGUGAAAUACCUCGGCUCAACCGGGGGGAGUCGUGCGAUACUGGAGGGCUCGAGGCCGGAAGGGGGAAGCGGAAUUCCCGGUGUAGUGGUGGAAUGCGUAGAUAUCGGGAGGAACACCAGUGGCGAAGGCGGCUUCCUGGACCGGUCCUGACGCUGAGGCGCGAAAGCGUGGGGAGCGAACUGAAUUAGAUACUCAGGUAGUCCACGCUGUAAACGAUGGGUGCUAGGUGUCGGGGGUAUCGACCCCCCCGGUGCCGGAGCUAACGCAUUAAGCACCCCGCCUGGGGAGUACGGCCGCAAGGCUAAAACUUAAAGGAAUUGGCGGGGGAC